rnacentral:lncRNA from 1 species
CCGGCUGCGUGGGCCCCGCUCUCACCGCAGCGCGGGAGACUCGGAGCCCGGUCGGUCCCCACGUUCCACACAAGCUCAAUUUCCGCCUGCAUCCCACUGGGGCGGGCGGGGGAUUGCGGGCUCCGGGAGGCGCUCGGGUUCCGAGCAGAGACUCAGCCCCGCACUCUUCCCUGCGCUGCGCCUCUGCCUGCGGGCCAGGAUCCCGCGAGUCUGGGCUGCAGCGAGAGCGAAGCUGCGUGGCUUCCCGGCUCGGUACCGCGCGGCUGCUAACCUCCGGGGCCUCGCCUCCUGCGGCUGCCAGGUCGCAUCGCGUUCUCCCAAGGUCUUGGUUUUCCCUCUACUCCCUCUAGACUCAGCGCCACAACUAGCUGGACCUCUGCAGUCCUGAAAGUGCAGCAGGCACGGACAGAUUCGGAUCGGCUUGGGCUUCACGCCUCUCGCCGGCUCGCCUUCCUUUCCCUG